rnacentral:rRNA from 1 species
UACGUAGGGGGCAAGCGUUGUCCGGAAUCAUUGGGCGUAAAGCGCGCGUAGGCGGCCCGGUAAGUCCGUUGUGAAAGUCAAAGGCUCAACCUUUGAAUGCCGAUGGAUACUGCCGGGCUAGAGUCCGGAAGAGGCGAGUGGAAUUCCUGGUGUAGCGGUGGAAUGCGCAGAUAUCAGGAGGAACACCGAUAGCGAAGGCAGCUCACUGGGACGGUACUGACGCUGAGGCGCGAAAGCGUGGGGAGCGAACAGG